UUUCUAUCCUCCCUGCCUGUCACCAAUGUCAUCCCUCCUGUGUGCUCCCAGACCCAGAGGGUAGGAUUCUGGGAGUUGUCAUAACCACUUAUGAAGAAUACCCAAGCCCCGCUCCACAGAAACAGAAGGGCAAUGAAGGUUAAGUGGCUUGCUCAGGGUCACACAGCUAGUAAGUGUCAAAUGUCUGAGGCUGGAUUUGAACUCAGGCACUUCUGAAUCCAGGGCCAAUGCCUUAUCUACUGCACCACCUAGCUGCCCCCACCAGUGCUCUUUUGAACAACCAUCAUGGAUCUCACUUUUCCCUCCAUCUUCCCUCCACACACCCUUUUCUUUGCCACAUGCACAUCCAAAUCCCAGCUACCCCUGGAAAGAGCAGUAAUCACUUGGAGAAUGUGAAACACUUUUAUUCUUUGUGAAAACAUUGAAGGAUUUAAAAAAAAAUGUUCUUCUCAGAGGGGACUGACCCAGACCCGCCCUGCAGGUUCCUGGGGUUAAAAUUCCCUCCUUCCCACCCCCACCCCCACCCGCCAUUUCCCAUACCCUUUGUUAACAAAAAGGAACUAUUUUAAUGGAAUCAUAUAAUAAUUAUAAUAAAAUAUACAUUAAAAAAACAAAAAAACCAAACAAGAAACAGAAAUUUAGCCGA